AUUGAACGCUGGCGGCAGGCCUAACACAUGCAAGUCGAACGAGUGGCGGACGGGUGAGUAAUGUCUGGGAAACUGCCUGAUGGAGGGGGAUAACUACUGGAAACGGUAGCUAAACCCCAAUACCACGGGUGUGGCCCAGAUGGGAUUAGCUAGUAGGGGGGGUAAAGGCUCACCUAGGCGACGAUCCCUAGCUGGUCUGAGAGGAUGGCCAGCCACACUGGAACUGAGACACGGUCCAGACUCCUACGGGAGGCAGCAGUGGGGAAUAUUGCACAAUGGGCGCAAGCCUGAUGCAGCCAUGCCGCGUGUAUGAAGAAGGCCUUCGGGUUGUAAAGUACUUUCAGCGGGGAGGCGUUACCCGCAGAAGAAGCACCGGCUAACUCCGUGCCAGCAGCCGCGGUAAUUC
rnacentral:rRNA from 1 species